rnacentral:hammerhead_ribozyme from 1 species
GUACUGUUGAAGAGUCCCAAACCAGGACUAAAUAGCUGUCCAGUAC